AGCAGGUAAAUUGUUGAAGAAGAUGUGAUAUAUAUGCAUGAUGCUAGUGAAGAAGGUUUGAUGACCUCACCAACCAAGGAUAGAUGGCUAGUUACACUCUCAGAAUUCAGGACCACCCAGCCAGGAGUGGCACUGCCUACAGCAAGAUCCACCCC